rnacentral:rRNA from 1 species
AGUGGCGGACGGGUGAGUAACGCGUGGGUAACCUGCCUCAAAGAGGGGGACAACAGUUGGAAACGACUGCUAAUACCGCAUAAGCCCACAGCUCGGCAUCGAGCAGAGGGAAAAGGAGCAAUCCGCUUUGAGAUGGCCUCGCGUCCGAUUAGCUAGUUGGUGAGGUAACGGCCCACCAAGGCAACGAUCGGUAGCCGGACUGAGAGGUUGAACGGCCACAUUGGGACUGAGACACGGCCCAGACUCCUACGGGAGGCAGCAGUGGGGAAUAUUGCACAAUGGGGGAAACCCUGAUGCAGCGACGCCGCGUGGAGGAAGAAGGUCUUCGGAUUGUAAACUCCUGUUGUUGAGGAAGACAAUGACGGUACUCAACAAGGAAGUGACGGCUAACUACGUGCCAGCAGCCGCGGUAAAACGUAGGUCACAAGCGUUGUCCGGAAUUACUGGGUGUAAAGGGAGCGCAGGCGGGAAGACAAGUUGGAAGUGAAAUCUAUGGGCUCAACCCAUAAACUGCUUUCAAAACUGUUUUUCUUGAG